CUCCAUUAUCUGGUUCUGGUAGUUUUGUGCAUUUGUGUGUUUGCAGCUUUCCAGUUUUCAGCAUUUACUUACAAAGAUAACCUAGGAGCUACAACCCUGCUGCUGAUCUUAUUUGGAUUUGCCACAAUGCCCUGGAUGUAUCUUCUGUCAAGGUUUUUCUCCAGCUCAGAUGUAGCUUUUAUCACAUAUGUGGCAAUUAACUUAGUGCUGGGUCUCUGCACAAUCCUUGCAGUCUAUCUUCCUCGUUUUCUGGCUUUAUUAUCCGGCCAAGAGCAACUGUUGAGAGUUUACAGUGUACUUCGCUGGGUCUUUAUCAUUUUCCCACAAUUUUGCCUGUCCUUUGGGCUGAUAGAACUAUCCUACAAUCAAUUGAAAUUUGAUCUGACCAAGGAUUUUGGAGUUGAUUCCUACGUGAGUCCAUUUGAGAUGGAAUUCCUGGGCUGGGUCUUCAUUGCAAUUACCAUUGAGGGAUGUUUAUUUUUGUUAAUUCGUCUCCUAUUCCAAGGCAAUUUGCUAUAUA